rnacentral:tmRNA from 1 species
GAAGUCUGUUUAGAAGAAACUUAAUCAAGCUAGCAUCAUGUUGGUUGUUUAUCACUUUUCAUGAUGCGAAACUUUUCGAUAAACUACACACGUAGAAAGAUGUGUAUCAGGACCUCUGGACGCGGGUUCAAAUCCCGCCGUCUCCAUUA